rnacentral:lncRNA from 1 species
CAUGGGGGUGCUGGAGCCGCAGGCGGCGGAGGCGCGGGGCUUGCUCCCGAUGGCGGAGGCGGAGGGGACGGGGAGGGUAACUGAGAGAGAAAAGAGUAGAUGGGUUAGGUAAAGAAUUUUUUAUAGCUGCAAUUUUAUUUUAUUUUUUUAUAUGUAAAUAGACAAUAAAGCCCCCAAUACUUAUGUAAUAGAUAUUGAACAAGUAAGGGUAAAAAUGUCUUUAUGAAAUGAUGGGUUGGUGCGUGUUGAAAAAAAAAGGAGGGAAAAUAUGGCGAGCUGGAUAAGGAAAUAUCGUGGCGACAAUUAUUGCCACUAGUA